UACAGAGGUCUCAACCGUUGUUCGGAUUCAUUGGGCGUAAAUGGUGCGUAGGCGGUCGCGCAAGUCGGAUGUGAAAUCUCAGGGCUCAACCCUGAAACUGCAUUCGAUACUGCGUGGCUAGAGUGCUGGAGGGGAGACUGGAAUUUACGGUGUAGCAGUGAAAUGCGUAGAUAUCGUAAGGAAGACCAGUGGCGAAGGCGAGUCUCUGGACAGCAACUGACGCUGAGGCACGAAGGCCAGGGGAGCAAACGGG
rnacentral:rRNA from 1 species